rnacentral:rRNA from 1 species
CAGCAGCCACGGGAAUACGUAGGGUGCAAGCGUUAAUCGGAAUUACUGGGCGUAAAGCGUGCGCAGGCGGUUUGUUAAGUCAGAUGUGAAAUCCCCGAGCUUAACUUGGGAACUGCAUUUGAAACUGGCAAGCUAGAGUCUUGUAGAGGGGGGUAGAAUUCCAGGUGUAGCGGUGAAAUGCGUAGAGAUCUGGAGGAAUACCGGUGGCGAAGGCGGCCCCCUGGACAAAGACUGACGCUCAGGUGCGAAAGCGUGGGGAGCAAACAGGAUUAGAUACCCCAGUAGUCCCUGUCUCUUAUAC